rnacentral:rRNA from 1 species
UACAGAGGGGGCAAGCGUUAUUCGGAAUUAUUGGGCGUAAAGGGCGCGUAGGCGGCUUGGCAAGUGGAUGGUGAAGUCCCUCGGCUUAACCGAGGAACUGCCGUCCAAACUGCUUAGCUUGAGACCGGGAGAGGUGAGUGGAAUUCCCAGUGUAGCGGUGAAAUGCGUAGAUAUUGGGAGGAACACCAGUGGCGAAGGCGGCUCACUGGACCGGUACUGACGCUGAGGCGCGAAAGCGUAGGGAGCAAACGGG